rnacentral:rRNA from 1 species
UACGUAGGGUGCAAGCGUUGUCCGGAAUUAUUGGGCGUAAAGAGCUCGUAGGCGGUUUGUUGCGUCGGCUGUGAAAUCCCGAGGCUCAACCUCGGGUCUGCAGUCGAUACGAGCAAACUAGAGUGUUGCAGGGGAGACUGGAAUUCCUGGUGUAGCGGUGAAAUGCGCAGAUAUCGGGAGGAACACCGGUGGCGAAGGCGGUUCUCUGGGCCUUACCUGACGCUGAGGAGCGAAAGCGUGGGGAGCAAACAGG